rnacentral:rRNA from 1 species
AGUGAACGCUGGCGGUAGGCCUAACACAUGCAAGUCGAACGGCAGCACAGUAAGAGCUUGCUCUUACGGGUGGCGAGUGGCGGACGGGUGAGGAAUACAUCGGAAUCUACUUUUUCGUGGGGGAUAAUGUAGGGAAACUUACGCUAAUACCGCAUACGACCUACGGGUGAAAGCAGGGGAUCUUCGGACCUUGCGCGAUUGAAUGAGCCGAUGUCGGAUUAGCUAGUUGGCGGGGUAAAGGCCCACCAAGGCGACGAUCCGUAGCUGGUCUGAGAGGAUGAUCAGCCACACUGGAACUGAGACACGGUCCAGACUCCUACGGGAGGCGGCAGUGGGGAAUAUUGGACAAUGGGCGCAAGCCUGAUCCAGCCAUACCGCGUGGGUGAAGAAGGCCUUCGGGUUGUAAAGCCCUUUUGUUGGGAAAGAAAAGCAGCAGGUUAAUACCCCGCUAUUCUGACGGUACCCAAAGAAUAAGCACCGGCUAACUUCGUG